rnacentral:rRNA from 1 species
UCAAGUGAAGAAGCGCAUACGGUGGAUGCCUUGGCAGUCAGAGGCGAUGAAAGACGUGGUAGCCUGCGAAAAGCUUCGGGGAGUCGGCAAACAGACUUUGAUCCGGAGAUCUCUGAAUGGGGGAACCCACCUAGGAUAACCUAGGUAUCUUGUACUGAAUCCAUAGGUGCAAGAGGCGAACCAGGGGAACUGAAACAUCUAAGUACCCUGAGGAAAAGAAAUCAACCGAGAUUCCCUUAGUAGUGGCGAGCGAACGGGGAUUAGCCCUUAAGCUUCAUUGAUUUUAGCGGAACGCUCUGGAAAGUGCGGCCAUAGUGGGUGAUAGCCUCGUACGCGAAAGGAUCUUUGAAGUGAAAUCGAGUAGGACGGAGCACGAGAAACUUUGUCUGAACAUGGGGGGACCAUCCUCCAAGGCUAAAUACUACUGACUGACCGAUAGUGAACCAGUACCGUGAGGGAAAGGCGAAAAGAACCCCGGAGAGGGGAGUGAAAUAGAACCUGAAACCGUAUGCGUACAAGCAGUGGGAGCCUACUUGUUAGGUGACUGCGUACCUUUUGUAUAAUGGGUCAGCGACUUAUAUUCAGUGGCAAGCUUAACCGUAUAGGGUAGGCGUAGCGAAAGCGAGUCUUAAUAGGGCGUUUAGUCGCUGGGUAUAGACCCGAAACCGGGCGAUCUAUCCAUGAGCAGGUUGAAGGUUAGGUAACACUGACUGGAGGACCGAACCCACUCCCGUUGAAAAGGUAGGGGAUGACUUGUGGAUCGGAGUGAAAGGCUAAUCAAGCUCGGAGAUAGCUGGUUCUCCUCGAAAGCUAUUUAGGUAGCGCCUCAUGUAUCACUCUGGGGGGUAGAGCACUGUUUCGGCUAGGGGGUCAUCCCGACUUACCAAACCGAUGCAAACUCCGAAUACCCAGAAGUGCCGAGCAUGGGAGACACACGGCGGGUGCUAACGUCCGUCGUGAAAAGGGAAACAACCCAGACCGCCAGCUAAGGUCCCAAAGUUGUGGUUAAGUGGUAAACGAUGUGGGAAGGCUUAGACAGCUAGGAGGUUGGCUUAGAAGCAGCCACCCUUUAAAGAAAGCGUAAUAGCUCACUAGUCGAGUCGGCCUGCGCGGAAGAUGUAACGGGGCUCAAACCACACACCGAAGCUGCGGGUGUCACGUAAGUGACGCGGUAGAGGAGCGUUCUGUAAGCCUGUGAAGGUGAGUUGAGAAGCUUGCUGGAGGUAUCAGAAGUGCGAAUGCUGACAUGAGUAACGACAAUGGGUGUGAAAAACACCCACGCCGAAAGACCAAGGGUUCCUGCGCAACGUUAAUCGACGCAGGGUUAGUCGGUUCCUAAGGCGAGGCUGAAAAGCGUAGUCGAUGGGAAACAGGUUAAUAUUCCUGUACUUCUGGUUACUGCGAUGGAGGGACGGAGAAGGCUAGGCCAGCUUGGCGUUGGUUGUCCAAGUUUAAGGUGGUAGGCUGAAAUCUUAGGUAAAUCCGGGGUUUCAAGGCCGAGAGCUGAUGACGAGUCGUCUUUUAGAUGACGAAGUGGUUGAUGCCAUGCUUCCAAGAAAAGCUUCUAAGCUUCAGGUAACCAGGAACCGUACCCCAAACCGACACAGGUGGUCGGGUAGAGAAUACCAAGGCGCUUGAGAGAACUCGGGUGAAGGAACUAGGCAAAAUGGCACCGUAACUUCGGGAGAAGGUGCGCCGGCUAGGGUGAAGGAUUUACUCCGUAAGCUCUGGCUGGUCGAAGAUACCAGGCCGCUGCGACUGUUUAUUAAAAACACAGCACUCUGCAAACACGAAAGUGGACGUAUAGGGUGUGACGCCUGCCCGGUGCCGGAAGGUUAAUUGAUGGGGUUAGCGCAAGCGAAGCUCUUGAUCGAAGCCCCGGUAAACGGCGGCCGUAACUAUAACGGUCCUAAGGUAGCGAAAUUCCUUGUCGGGUAAGUUCCGACCUGCACGAAUGGCGUAACGAUGGCGGCGCUGUCUCCACCCGAGACUCAGUGAAAUUGAAAUCGCUGUGAAGAUGCAGUGUAUCCGCGGCUAGACGGAAAGACCCCGUGAACCUUUACUGUAGCUUUGCACUGGACUUUGAGCCUGCUUGUGUAGGAUAGGUGGGAGGCUUUGAAGCGUGGACGCCAGUUCGCGUGGAGCCAUCCUUGAAAUACCACCCUGGCAUGCUUGAGGUUCUAACUCUGGUCCGUGAUCCGGAUCGAGGACAGUGUAUGGUGGGCAGUUUGACUGGGGCGGUCUCCUCCUAAAGAGUAACGGAGGAGUACGAAGGUGCGCUCAGACCGGUCGGAAAUCGGUCGCAGAGUAUAAAGGCAAAAGCGCGCUUGACUGCGAGACAGACACGUCGAGCAGGUACGAAAGUAGGUCUUAGUGAUCCGGUGGUUCUGUAUGGAAGGGCCAUCGCUCAACGGAUAAAAGGUACUCCGGGGAUAACAGGCUGAUACCGCCCAAGAGUUCAUAUCGACGGCGGUGUUUGGCACCUCGAUGUCGGCUCAUCACAUCCUGGGGCUGAAGCCGGUCCCAAGGGUAUGGCUGUUCGCCAUUUAAAGUGGUACGCGAGCUGGGUUUAGAACGUCGUGAGACAGUUCGGUCCCUAUCUGCCGUGGACGUUUGAGAUUUGAGAGGGGCUGCUCCUAGUACGAGAGGACCGGAGUGGACGAACCUCUGGUGUUCCGGUUGUCACGCCAGUGGCAUUGCCGGGUAGCUAUGUUCGGAAAAGAUAACCGCUGAAAGCAUCUAAGCGGGAAACUUGCCUCAAGAUGAGAUCUCACUGGGAACUUGAUUCCCCUGAAGGGCCGUCGAAGACUACGACGUUGAUAGGCUGGGUGUGUAAGCGUUGUGAGGCGUUGAGCUAACCAGUACUAAUUGCCCGUGAGGCUUGACCAU